CUGAUUACGUCGAUUAUAAUUUAUAAUUAUGCGUAUCAUCGUAGUUUACCUACCUAUUACCUGAAUUUACACAAAAGAUAAGAAUAGCUAAGUAUGUUUCAAAAUCAGGAAGAGAUCGUGUAUUGAAUGAGAUGAAAAAGCAGAAGAGCCUUAUUUGGUCACUCUUUAUCUACUUAUUAUACCUUCAACUACGUUCUUAAAAGUACACCCGCAUUGCACAUUGUUUUUUACCAUUUCGCGUAUCAUACGAGAAAAGAUAACCGCCGUUGAACCAUUUUUAGAAGACAAACUUUUUAUCGAAUCCUCGACAACGCGAGACGAACAAAUUCAUUGUUUGACCUUUUAUGUGACUUGGUUUUCGAAUCAUUCAAACGUUCAGUUACUCACGUUUUGGUACUCUGAAUGAUGAACUUCCAACUGUUGAUAUCCGUUAUCGUAUUCGUAUUGGUUUUUGCAAGUUCCUCCAUAACUGCAGAAGAAACCAGCGAGCAUCCGAUUUUAGUUAAAAAAUGGCAAAGUCUUAAUUUAUGUAUGACGGCUUGCGACGAAAAUUGCGCGGUUAGAGGAUCAGGCAGCCCCGUUUGUUACUUCGCAGACCACGAUCAUUUUGAGUGCCUUUGUUACUCGUCGAUUCCAUCAAAGCGUAAUGGGUAAAUUAAUUCUUUGUAUUUCGAUCAUUCUAUACUAAUUGUAUUAUUUGAUGAUGAUUUAUAAAUCUAUAGGUACAGUAUAUUCACAUUUAGGCAAAUAUUGUGAGUCUUAGAAAUAAAUCUGAGUAAGAAAGUU